UACGAAGGGGGCGAGCGUUGUUCGGAAUUACUGGGCGUAAAGGGCGCGCAGGCGGCCCUUGAAGUCAGGCGUGAAAGCCCCGGGCUCAACCUGGGAGGUGCGCUUGAUACUCGAGGGCUUGAGUGCGGGAGAGGAGAGUGGAAUUCCCAGUGUAGAGGUGAAAUUCGUAGAUAUUGGGAAGAACACCGGCGGCGAAGGCGGCUCUCUGGGCUAACACUGACGCUCAUGCACGAAAGCGUGGGGAGCAAACAGG
rnacentral:rRNA from 1 species